rnacentral:rRNA from 1 species
CUACGGGGUGCAGCAGUGGGGAAUAUUGGACAAUGGGGGAAACCCUGAUCCAGCAAUGCCGCGUGUGUGAAGAAGGCCUGCGGGUUGUAAAGCACUUUCGGUUGGGAGGACUGCUUCUAGCACUAAUAUUGUUGGAAGUUGACGUUACCUUCAGAAGAAGCACCGGCUAACUCCGUGCCAGCAGCCGCGGUAAUACGGAGGGUGCAUGCGUUAAUCGGAAUUACUGGGCGUAAAGCGCGCGUAGGCGGCUAGAUCAGUCGGGUGUGAAAGCCCCGGGCUUAACCUGGGAACUGCAUCCGAUACUGUCUAGCUUGAGUACAGGAGAGGAGAGUGGAAUUCCACAUGUAGCGGUGAAAUGCGUAGAUAUGUGGAGGAACACCAAUGGCGAAGGCAGCUCUCUGGCCUGAUACUGACGCCGAGGUGCGAAAGCGUGGGGAGCAAACAGGAUUAGAUACCCCCGUAGUC